rnacentral:misc_RNA from 1 species
UACGAAGGGGGCAAGCGUUGUUCGGAAUUACUGGGCGUAAAGCGCAUGCAGGCGGCAUGCCAAGUCAGGGGUGAAAUCCCGGGGCUCAACCCCGGAACUGCCUCUGAAACUGGCAAGCUAGAGUAUGGCAGAGGAUGGUGGAAUUCCUAGUGUAGAGGUGAAAUUCGUAGAUAUUAGGAGGAACACCAAUGGCGAAGGCAGCCAUCUGGGCCAUUACUGACGCUGAGAUGCGAAAGCGUGGGUAGCAAACAGG